ACUGGUUGUAAACUGUGAAUUUCUAAUUGUAAAGUGAAUUGUCAUUUCUAAUUGAAAUUUUUUUUCAAGAACAGAUUUCAGCUUCAUAUACUAAGUAAAUACUGAUAAAUAAGGAACUUAGAAAUUAGUAUUUGUAAUUAAAUAUGAUCUAAAAUUUCUUAUAUUUUUAUUUCCUGUUUAUGCUUAGGUAGAUUGCUGGGGGAGGGAGUCUGUUCUCCCUAAUAAAAAUUUUUCUAAUAAACAUUGGUAGCAUAAGGACAUUCUGUAAGACAGUGACAUUAAAAAAGGCUCUUGUGGAGGUAUACAUUAUUAUACUAGUUACUCUAACAUCUUGUGUACAAGUCCUUUUGAAAUGGUGGCUUUAAUAGCUUUCAGCUCUUUUAUCCAGAGCUUGAGAUAAAGUUGAGUUUUUCAGGGCAUAUUACAAUGGCAAAGUGUUCAACAGUGAGGUGUCAAUGCUUACUCAGAUUUGUCUACUGCUAUUUAUAUAAAAAUUGUUUUCAUUUCAUUCAGAGGAUGCCUUUUACCCCCACGUUAAAGCACAGAUCAUUAAGCAAUAAAAACCAAUCAAAUUAUCAUCCAAAUUAUAACUGCGAUUAUUUUUGCAUGGUAAGAGUGAGGUGCUAAUUUUGUGUGAGAUGAGCUUUGUAAACUACCUUGGGAAAGGUCCUUUGGAAGUAAGGUUUUUCCCCUUUAGUCCUAUGCUUCCAGUUUUGUCUCAAAUUCACAAUCCAUUAAAACAUGGGAAAAAAGAAUAGAUUGAAUUAAUUGAGAGAGUUUUAUGAGAAGAGGUGUUGGAAUAAAUCUAGAAUAUUUGUUGGGAAAGGUCUCCCUUGUCUCCUCAUUUAGGAAAUACAUUAUUACCAGCUUAAUUUCACAAGCAUCACUACAGUGAGAGUUUCAUUAUAAAAGCAUACCAGUGAAAUGAAUAGCAAUGCUUAUCAAACAAUAUUGAAAUCUGUGAGAAUCUUUCUAGGAGCAUUCUUUUUUCUUUUAGUUCCAGGUUCCCAGGGUAUUUUUCAUUCAUAGUAAGUUUAUAUGACUGACACAGAAUGUGGAUUUUUCCCCCUUUGGAGUAUUUUUAUAAUGUAGGUGGAUAGCUAUGCCACAGCAUGCAUAAAUUGCACAUUUUGUUUGACUUUCUUUAUAAAAUAUUUAAUUUGAAAAAUAUAAUUUAUGCCAAAAAAGUUUUCAUAGAGAAUAGUUGAAAAGUGUUCCAUUACUGGUCUGUCAGAAACCCUAAAGCUGCAUUGUAAAAAAAUGGUGUAAAUUAGUUUUGAAAAGUGGUAAGGGAUUGUGAAAAAAAAUCUCAGACUUAAUGCUCCCUAACCACAUUAUUUUCUUCUUUUUUUAUUUAGUAAUACGCUGCUACAGAUUUGGAGGUUCUGGUGUUUGUAGGUCACUGAACAGACAUUGAAAUCUGAUUUAUAUUGUAUAACUGUAACAUAGAAAGAAAAAGUAUUUAUAUAUUUUCCGUAAGAAUAUUUCAUUGAGUUGUGUAUAAUUUAAAUAAGAUUUGUCCCCAAAUGGUUUUGCUCACCCUGAUUUUUGUGUGUGUGUGGUUUUCUUGUUUUUGUAUAAUGUGUACAGUUUAUGUCAAGGGCAUUAAAAAGCCUCCUGAAGUAUAAUCUUAUCAAAGGGAUACAUUGUUAAUAAAAUGUA
ensembl:lncRNA